AACAGUAUGUAGGGUAAGGGCCUUUAGCUGAAAGGCAGAGAAGACCACACAAGCACUGCUCAGCAUUUUGGAAAUUGGAGCUGUUAAUCUUACCGAUAACUGCUUAUCACAUACAGGCUAUUUUAUCUCCAAAACUAAUCAAUUGUUCUCAACAUGGAGUAUUUGGAAAUGGUUGAGGAGGAAAAGAACUUUUCCUUCCAUGAGAAAGAUGACAGAGAUCAGUGGAUUGAUGACAUGGUGAAGAAGGAUAAAAAGAGGUGAAGUGGCCUGCCUGCAAUCCCGUGGUCUCACAGUCAAGCUACCCGGCUUCAAGUCCAACACCCUUUCACUAUUGUGAAGAAAUCAUCCCCUCUCAUGCAUGGCUAGUAGGAGGCCUACUCUUGACUGUCUCGUCAGACGAGGGAAGGUGAAGAAAGUAAUGUCCAGACUAAGCUCGUCCCGACUGCAUUCUUAAGUGACAGCAGACUUUUACUCUAGUCUCGCCGUCUUGUGAGAUUAGAGAUGGCAACCUUAAAAACAAGUGCCACAGAGGAAGGUGAAGCAAGGCGACGAUGGUCAGGAAGUUUAAGAACAAAAAAGAUGACACAAUGUCACCCCAGAAGCUUUACAGAAAUCCACCAGUUUCAACAUACAAUUAUGAUUCUGACUGAGGCAGGCUGUUAAACUUGCUUGCACUGAAUGGGUGUGUCUCCCCCUGAAGGAGUAUACAAUGAACAAAUAACACAGAGAACAAAUCUCAAAUCUCGACCUCUCUCAACAUGCCCAUGUUGGUUAGUACCUAACUCAACAUUUUAUAGACAUUUAAAGCCCAGCUACAAACAGAACCCAGACAUCUGAGGAGAGAGGUUGAAAACAAUUUUCAGCAUGGACCUCACUGAACAAUAAUUCUACACUUCAACUUACCAUUCAC